rnacentral:rRNA from 1 species
UAGGGGAUCUUGGACAAUGGGCGAAAGCCUGAUCCAGCGACGCCGCGUGGGGGACGAAGGCCUUCGGGUUGUAAACCCCUGUUGUUGGGAAAGAAGCCGGGCUUCGCCCGGUGACGGUACCCAACGAGGAAGCCCCGGCUAACUACGUGCCAGCAGCCGCGGUAAGACGUAGGGGGCGAGCGUUAUCCGGAUUCACUGGGCGUAAAGGGCGCGCAGGCGGCUACGUAAGUCCGGCGUGAAAUCCCACGGCUCAACUGUGGAACUGCGUCGGAAACUACGUUGGCUUGAGGAUGGUAGAGGCCAUUAGAACUAGCGGUGUAGCGGUGAAAUGCGCAGAUAUCGCUAGGAAUGCCGGUGGCGAAGGCGGAUGGCUGGGCCACUCCUGACGCUGAGGCGCGAAAGCUAGGGGAGCGAACCGG